CUUCGGACCUCACGCUAUCAGAUGAGCCUAGGUCGGAUUAGCUAGUUGGUGGGGUAAAGGCCUACCAAGGCGACGAUCCGUAACUGGUCUGAGAGGAUGAUCAGUCACACUGGAACUGAGACACGGUCCAGACUCCUACGGGAGGCAGCAGUGGGGAAUAUUGGACAAUGGGCGAAAGUCUAUCCAGCCAUGCCGCGUGUGUGAAGAAGGUCUUCGGAUUGUAAAGCACUUUAAGUUGGGAGGAAGGGCAGUAAGGUAAUACCUUGCUGUUUUGACGUUACCAACAGAAUAAGCACCGGCUAACUUCGUGCCAGCAGCCGCGGUAAUACGAA
rnacentral:rRNA from 1 species